UACGGAGGGGACUAGCGUUGUUCGGAAUUACUGGGCGUAAAGCGCACGUAGGCGGAUUUGUAAGUCAGGGGUGAAAUCCCGGGGCUCAACCUCGGAACUGCCUUUGAUACUGCGAAUCUCGAGUCCGGAAGAGGUGAGUGGAAUUCCCGGUGUAGUGGUGGAAUGCGUAGAUAUCGGGAGGAACACCAGUGGCGAAGGCGGGUUGCUGGGCUGACACUGACGCUGAGGCGCGAAAGCUAGGGGGAGCGAACGGG
rnacentral:rRNA from 1 species